rnacentral:miRNA from 1 species
GGCUUUUCUCUUUUUUUUUC